GCGAAGUUAGUGUAAAGGGGAGGAAAGAGGGGAAGGAAAAAAAGAAAGAUAAAGUGAUGGAGAAAGCCAAGAGUGCCAAUUUUGCCGGGUUACUACUGGAGGACUCAAGUACAGAAUCUGAGAAUGAUAACAUCUCUCCUAAGUAUGAUUCAGAUGACAUGUGCAGUAUUAAUAGCGAUGAUGAUGAAAAGGUUAGAAAGGUUGAAAAUGUUGCAUUUAGGGCAGAAACAGACAUGGAUAAUUUAACAUUUAGGUUGGGAAAGACAUUCAUUGAUGCAAUAGAAUUUAGAGCUGCACUGAGAGCUUAUUCUAUUAAAAAUAACAAGAAAAUUUCCUUCAAAAAGAAUGAAUCUGAUAAAAUUUCUGCAAAAUGUUGUGAUCAAUGUCCACGGCGCAUAUAUGCAUCUAAAAAGGCACCAGAUGACCCCACAAUCACGAUAAAAACUUUAGUUGGGAAACAUUCUGAUGAUUGUUUGUUUGUUUAUGUCAACAAAAAUGUGAAAUCUCGAAUGAUUGCCAAAUAUUUCCUGCAUUAUUUGAGAAUACAUCCAGAUGUAUCAGUAGGAGAUUUCAUGGACAAAAUACAUGAAGAGAUGAAUGUUGAAGUUUCAGUGAGCAAAGUGUAUAGAUGUGAUGACCCAAAAGGUCAUCUUAUGUUUUAAAACUCGAAUCUGCGCUCUUAAGCCUUAAAAAUCUCAUUUUUUUUCCCUCCUCGAUUUGUGUGCACAGUUCGGACAGGUUUCCGAAAAGCUUUUAUGUUGAAAAUUGAUGAAAAUAAGAAUUUAUGCCUUAAAAGUUAAUUUUAGUUUACUUCGGUCAAUAUUUUUAGUAAACGGGCCCGGAUCCGUAUUUUGAUGAUCCCGGUGGGUCCGUAUCAAAUUAUGGGACCUGGACGUAUGCCCGGAAUCGAAUUUGGAGGUCCCUAUCUCAAGUUAUGAAUUUUUGAUGAAAAUUAAAAAUCUGAAAAAUUAAUUAUUUUUAAGAAUUGAUUGAUGUUGGGCAUUGUUAGUGCCGGGUCCGUAUUCUGGUUCCGGAGCCCGGUACAGGUUUAUUAUGAUAUUUAAGACUUGUCUGUGAAAUUUGGUGAGAAACGGAGUUGAUUUGACGUGAUUCGAACGUCCAGUUGAGAAAAUAGAAAUUUUAAAGUGUUCUUGAAAAUUUCAUUUGAUUUGGUGCUAAAUUCGUAGUUCUAGGUGUUAUUUUGGCGAUUUGAUCGCGCGAGCAAGUUCGUAUGAUAUUUUUAGACUUGUGGACAUGUUUGGUUUGGAGCACCGAGAGCUCGGGGUGAGUUUCGGAUAGGCCACGGGAUAUUUUGGACUUUGGAAAUCUGGUAUUUUGCUGCAGCAAGUGUUCUGGCAUGUCCUUCUUCGCGUUCACGAAGGUACUCUCGCGAACGCGAAGAGUAAACUGGGCAGCUGAAGGUUUCUUCUUCGCGAACGCGAAGCGAUGAGGGCGUUACCCUUCGCGAACGCGACAAGCCCAUCGCGAACGCGUAGUGUUAGGCAUUGGGGAUGGGGAGUCAGCCGUUCCUUCAUCGCGAACGCGAAGGCCAGGGGGGAGUAACCAUCGCGAACACGAGCUGGGUCUCGCGAACGCGUAGACUUGGCAGCCAGUACCCUUCGCGAACGCGAUGAAUACUGUCGCCCAGCACUUAACAGAAUCCAAAAACGGAAUUUUAGCCAAAAACUCAUUUUUCUCAAAAAACAAGCGGUGAGAGGCAGUUUUUCAAGAGCUAUUUCUUCCCUAAAUUGUUGAUAAGUGAUUCUAAACCAUUUUCUUUCAAUUACCCAUUACAUUUUNNNNNNNNNNNNNNNNNNNNNNNNNGAGGUCGGAUUCCAAAACCAAUUAUAUAUUCGGGAUCGGGGAUGAAUGGGUAAGUAGAUUUUGGUCCGAACCUCGGGUUUUGAUCAAGCGGGUCCGGGGUCGAUUUUUCGACUUUUUGGAGAAAAAUUUAGGAAAUUUAAUUUAUGCAAUAUAAUUGACUCCUUUAGCAAUAUUUGAUAUUAUUGAGUUAUUUUUGAAUAGAUACGAGUGGUUUGGAGAUGAAUUCUAAAGGAAAAGCUGUGAUUGAGAAUUAAGUGGCCUUCAGAGCGAUGUAAGUGUUGUUUCUAACCCUGACUUGAGGGAAUUAGGAACCUUAGAUUACUUGCUAAGUGAAAUCCAUGUGAGCAACGUAUAUGUGAGGUGACAAGUACUUAUGUGCCGCCAAUUUACCUGUUUUCCAUGUUUCUCUGUUUUCCUUAUAUUGUCUCUUUCCUAUGCCAAAUUGCUAUGUGUUAUAUUAGUGUUGUUCAAUUUAUCGUUCUUAUCAUGUUUACGAAUUUUCUGGUGAUAAUUGAGUGUUUAUUUCAAAGUUGAGAUUGAUAUUAUGGAACCAAAUGUUGAAGUAAUGUUUGUACUUAUUAAUCUAUCUCUCUGUUGUUAUUUAUGCAUUGCAUUAUGGUAAGGGAGAGUGUUAAUACACGAAGGGUGAUGCCAUGCCAUAUUGUGAGUGUUAAUGCACGAAGGGUGAUGUCGUGCUAUGAUAUGAAAGUUAAUGCACGAAGGGUGAUGCCGUGCCGUUUCUAUUAAUUUUAGGUGAGAUUGAGAGUAAAAGCACAAAGGGUGAUGCCGUAUAUUUUUCAUGGUAUAUUGACUGCUCCGAUGAUCAUUCUAUUGUAGUUCUUUAUCUUGUAUUCCCCUACGUAUGUUCCCCUCCCGACAUUUUCUGUUUAGUUCUUCAUCUCUGUUAUUUAUAUAUACACUAUUAAAUUGUACAGGUUGAUUUGUAGGUGCCUUGCCUUAGCCUCGUCACUACUUCGUCGAGGUUAGGAUCGACACUUACCAGUAUAUGGGAUCGGUUGUACUGAUACUACACUCUGCACUUUCUGUGCAGAUUUUGAUAUCGGCUCGGGUUGAUCGAGAUUUUGCUAUUGGUCCGCUGUCCGGAGACUCAAUGUAGAUCUGUCGGUGUUCACAGACCUUGAAGUCCCCGUCUAUCUUUUCUGUUCUACUGUUUCUUUCAUUCAGACAUUUGUAUUUCUUUCUGACUAUUAGUUGUAGCAAAUUCUAGAAUGCUCGUGAAUUGUGACUCAAGAUCCGGGGUAGUAAUUAAUACAGUUUUAUAAUAUUCCGUACUUAUUAUAUUUCAUCUUAGUUAAUUAUUGUUAUUUACUGAAUGGAAAUAAGGAAUUGGUCUAACGAUUUUCUAACGUUGGCUUGCCUAACAAGUGAAAUGUCAGGCGCCAUCAUGGUCCCGUCGGUGAGAAAUUUCGGAUCGUGACAAUAGAACAAAGACAAUAGCAAAGGAAAUGAUAGAAGGUCUCUACAAAGAACAAUAUGCAAAAUUAGAGGACUAUUGUGCAGAACUCAAGAGAAAGAAUCCAGGAUCAAUUGUAUUGUUAGAAACAACACCUCAUGAAGAGGAUGGCAGACCUGUUUUUGAAAAAAUGUACAUAUGUCUUGAGCCCUGCAGAAGAGGUUGGAUGGAAGGUUGUAGGCCACUCAUUAGGAUAGACGGUUUCUUUCUUUAAGGACCAUAUGGAGGUCAACUUUUGACAGUAAUUGGGAUAGAUGCUGAUAAUGGUAUAUUUCCUAUAGCCUACGCUGUAGUUGAUAUUGAAAAUAAGCAUAACUAGAAGUGAUUUUUAAAUUUGUUGGUGGAUGACUUGCAAAUUAGAAAUCAUGAUAACUUAUGUCUCAUUACAGACAAACAAAAGGUAAGAUUUUUUAUCCACAUAUAAUACCAAAUUCUAAUUGCUUUCAAUUAUCAAAAUUAGCCAUGUUUAUUAUUCUACUCACUUUUGUAGGGUUUGGAGGGAGCUAUUUAUGAGACAGUUCUCCAAGUUGAACAUAGGCUUUGUGUAAGACAUUUGUAUAAUAAUUUCAAGAAAGAGCACAAAGGUUUAUCGUUGAAGAUAAGAGUUUGGAAAGCUGCAAGGGCAACUCAUGUAAGUAAGUAUAGAUAUGAGAUGGAUAUGCUGGAAAAGGAGGACAAAGAAGUUAGAAAUUAGUUCAACGAUAGACCACCCAAAUUCUGGAGCAAGUCACAUUUUAGAACAACAACAAAGUGUGAUAUGCUUUUGAAUAAUCUUUGUGAGGCAUCAAUGGGACAAAACCCAUUUUGAGGGCAAGGGAGAAACCUAUACUUGGACUACUUGAAGGAAUUAGAAUAUACUUGAUGAAGAAACUGAACCAAAAGAGGGAAGACCUGCUCAAAUACCAAGGUAAUAUUGUUAUUGUAACUUCUCUGAAGCACAAAAUAUUUAACAUGAUCCUGACAAUAUUUUACUAUAACAGGAAAUUUAUGCCCUCGAAUCCGAAAACUAGUAAAAAAAGUGAAGGAAGACUCGGCUACAUCAAUUCCUACUUGGGCUGAAAAAUUUUCAUUUCAAGUAAAGACCAUGUAUGGUGAACAAUUUAGUGUUGACUUGAGUGGAAGAAUCUAUUCAUGUAGGGGAUGGGACCUUACAGGAAUCUCAUGCUCACAUGCAAUGAGCUGCAUAUUCCAUAUAAGAGAGAAUCCAAAAAAUUUCAUACAUGAUUGUUACAAGAAGACUGCUCAAAUGAGGAUUUAUGAGCCAGUCAUUGCUCCAAUGGAUGGACCUGAUAUGUGGGAACCUACUGAUCUACUUGAUGUUAACCCUCCUAACUAUGAGCCGAAGACAAGUAAGUUGAACAAAAAUAGAAGAAAAGAGCCCGAUGAAAUUGAAGCCUCCGAGAGAAAAGUAGUUGAGAUGAAAAAACAGAGAAGAGAGAAAAAGAAAAAAUAAUCUACAACAAGUGAAAUGCAUGAUGUUACCAAAUUGAGUAAGAAAGGGAAGUUAGGGAGGUGUAGCAAGUUCUUGCAAACUGGUCACAACAAAAUAACUUGCAACAAGAGUAGCGAUUCCUCGAAUUCAACAACUCUACCUCAAGCUACUCAAACAACUCAAGAUUGGUGCCAAAAUGCUACAAGUCAAUCCCCACCCAAGUAAGCAAAUCAAUUUUGAGUCCACUUAUUGGACUGGACAUAUAAAUGAACCUUCCAAACUCAAUGUAAGUAUGGAACCUUGAAUAUAGGUGAUUUAGUACUUUGAGAGACAGUUAAUAUAUUUGUGUUCUUUAUUUAUUUUCACAGCUAAGAAGGCCAAUGGAGGAUGAUUCAUCUCAUAGACCUGCGCGAGCUCAAGUUGGUGGCAUUGUGUUAAAUGCUGAGAAGUAUAUGUAGAAUGGAAAAAAUUGUAUUAGCUUACAAACCCUUCAAAAUACAAGUGCUAUAGAGAAGUCCAAGAAAAAGAGCUUUGAUGUGGAAGAAAAUAGAAGCAAUUAGCAUAUGAAAUUAUCAGCAAGAACAAAUUUUAAUUUCAUCAAGACUUCUUUUGUUGUUUAAUGGAUAUUUCCCUAUCAUUUAUUCCUAAGAGAUUUUCAAUGUCAAGUUUGUCAUUUACCUUUACAAUUUAAUUUUAGUAUUUUUACUCUUCGAAGCCUUUUAUUUGUAUAUCCUAUUUUGCCCUCAUAAAAAAUUUAUAUAAAUGGUGGUUUUAUUAUUUUGCAAGAGAAUAAAGAGGUUAGGGUUGAAAUCGUAUAAAAAAAUAAGACAGGGUGCAAAUCACAAAAAAGGAUACACAUUAGAGGUGCAAAAUGCGACGGACUCAAAGAAUCUGAGUAUAUAAGUCUUCCGAGGCAUUCCCCUAAAAUAGUAUAAAUAAAGGCGUCUAUAAAUAAAUAAAUAAAUAAAGUCUAGAGAAAGAUUUGUUGUUACCGCUGAGAUGAAUCAACAGAGCCUGCACUCUAAGUCACGAAAAUAUGUCUCUAAUCACGGAUUUUCACCUACAAACGCAACACCUACCGCACGACGUGGUAGGCCCAAACGGGCUAAGUACCACCAAAGGAUAGCUAGAAGUCUCAUUGACUGCCCCCAAAGGUGGAGGGCAAGACUAGCGUGGGCCACAUAAAUAUAAAAAAAAUACAGCAAGUAGAGCAGACAAUUCAUAUAAAAAUAAUUGAAUAAUCUAAAAAGCUAAAACUUGUUUUGAUAACUGAAUUCAGAUUAGUAAAUGAAAGUCGAAGCUAUAAACUAAUUUUGUAUCUAAUAAAUGAAACUAAAACUUAAAACUGAGUCUAAAACUGAUAUCUGAAACUGAAGUUGAAAACUGUGUUACUUUUAAAAAAAUAGUUUUUCUGAAAAUAUUGCACAUAAUGGCGCUAUGUAUAUGAGGAUCUGGGCACCGUAUGGGGACUGUUAAAGCUACUUUGGAGCCUCCGGUCAUGCUUACUGAAACUCAAUCUGUAUGUGGGGCCAUCGAGUGACUCAAUCAAGCUUAACACGUCUGAACGUGCUAGCAUCUACAAGCAUGUGGUAGCUAGCCCUGGCCACCGUGACACUCAUGCUCGUGGAGGGUAUCUACUUUUCUCUUUUUGAAUCUGAAUCUGAAUUUGAAUAUUUUAGGCCCUCGUGGAUAAAGUCUCCACUAUACUAACUCAUACACACUAAGCCCUCGUGGAUAAAGUGAGACUAUAUUAUUUUUUUUCUUCUGAAUCUGAACUGAAAGUUUGAGCAGUACAAGCAAUUUCACGUAAACAAUCAAUCAGAGAACAUCAAGAACCUAUUCAUUUUCUGUUCUAAAUAUGAACUGUAGGUCUGAGCAAUAUAAGUAGCUUCACAUAAUAACAAUUCCACAUAAUCAAAUAAUUACAACAAGGCAUACUAUUUAAGAUUUCUCGUAUUAGAGGUUUUCAUUGUAUAUAUAUAGUAAGGCAAGCAAGCAAGCAAUAUACUAUUCACAUUUUAAUAUAGCCCUUUACUUAGGGAAGAAAGUUCAAAUCACCUCUAAUGGGGUGCUCAAGUUUUUCCUUCCAAGAACUCACGAAUUCGGCUCCUCAAAAUCUACAGUUAAGCAGUUACAAUCAUUAUUUUGUCCUACUAACUCAACACCCAUAAUUCACUCGAGGCUUUAUUGGCCAGCAAUAACUUUUCAUAACUUUCUACCCAUAACUCUUAUAAAUUUCAUAAUCUGUAGUCAUAGUCUGUCAUAAAAUUACUAACUUUAAUACUAAUAGGUAACGAAACGUAUCUUGAAUGAUGCCUCCACAAACCCUGGGUCUUGACGAACGCUUGAUUUUUUGGGUGAAAACCUAGAUUUUAGGAAUUAGAAGGUGUUAAACGAUGUUAAUCUAAAUUUUUUAACUUGAAUCCAUGGUAGAAAUCUUACCUUGGGUGGAUUGGUGAAUCCCUAAUCAAGUCGUUCUUGCUCUCAAAAUCUCUCCAAAAUACAGUAGAAAUAAGUGAACUUCUCUCAUUUUGAAGUGCCUCAACCUGACACGUUAUGCCACACGUCGCAUGGCACCUCGAAAUUUUUUAGAAACUCAAAUUUUCGCCCAUUUGACCCAAAUUUGGCCUGGC
rnacentral:lncRNA from 1 species